rnacentral:lncRNA from 1 species
GAAGCGGUUAAGAGCACCAGCGGCUUUUGUGGAAGGGCUGGAUCCAAGUCCCCCCAACCACAAGCAACUCUCAGCCGGUUGUUAACUCCAGUUCCAAGGGAUCCAACGCCCUCUACUGACUUCUGUGUGUACUGCAAGCACAGGGCACGGAGACCAAUGCAGAAGACACAGUUCAGACUAUACGUACAAAUAAUAAAUGUUUAAAAAAAAAUGAGUCAAACCUAAAUGCUGUUGCUUGUCAAAGGCUCCUGAGCCUGAAGCCAGAGUUCCAUUUGUUUUAGAAAGAGAAAUAAUGGUCCUGGGCUGCGUAAGGAGAAAUUAACAAAGGUUAAAAAGCGUUACCAAAAAAAAAAAAAAAACAAACCAACCAACCAAACAAAAAAAAAAAACCCAGGCUGUCAUGUCAGUCCAAGGACAUCCCCAGAACUGCAAGGAAAUUAAAUCACUUUUACUAUGUGAGUCACUGUUAUUUAUAUCACCUAACGUCCUGCCCAGGGGCCCACACCCGUCUCCAGCAAACACUGUGCUGCUCCUGGAUGCCGCUCUAGGUAAAAGGAGAGUGGCCUCUGGUGCGGCCCUGAGCCAGCUGUGAGAACGACUGCGGAACGGAAGCAUUAUCCUCCAUAUUCUGUACCUGCACGCCAUGCUGGUCAGGGUAUGCCCUGUGCUCACGAACUCUCCUGUGGUGGACUGGAUCAUGUAGCUCAAACUGGUUUGGUUUGGUUUUGUGAGAGGUGGAAGGGUGUUGAGACAAACUCUUAUCUUUUUAUGUGGCAGAGGAUAAUCCUGAAUUCCUCAUCCUCCUGUCGGAACUUACUAUGUGCUGGCAUUUCGACCUUGACUCAACACGCCCAGACAAAAGGCUUAUACUGAAUUCUGUUUGUUUGUUUGUUUGUUUGUUUUAGUGAUUUUUAUUUUUUAUUUUAGUUUUGUGUUUGUUUGAGUCAGGGUUUCUCUGUGCAAUAGCUCUGGCUGUCCUGAAACUUCUUUUGUAGACCAGUCUGACUUUGAACUCAGAGAUCCACCUGCUUCUGCCUCCAGAGUGCUGGGAUUAAAAGGGUGUGCCAGCACUGCCCAGCUACACGGAAGUCUUAAUCUCCAGUAGCCAGGCCCAUAAGAAUCGAAAUGGACUUUGAGGAGAAUGUAUACUUGUUGGGGUGAGCCCUGACUCCGGGUUACCGGUGUUCUGAGCGUAGGCUACAGACAUACAUACAGAAAGAAGUCCAUGCGAAGAUGCAGGAAUCAGAUACAAUCUAUAGACCAAGAAGAGGCAUCUUAGAAGAAAGCAGGUCAGCUCACAGCAUCAUCAUGGUCUUCAGCCUUGAAAAUUGUGAGAAGAUCAUUUCUGUUUAAACAGCUCAGUCUGGGCCUCUCGGGCAAAUCAACAUAUUUGCCGAAUGGGACAAAUUCAGAAGACACUUCCCCUGUCCCCAAUCAGCUUGCUUCUUGAAAUAUUACAGAGAAAACUGAAGCUCGGAACCCAUGCAGACAUAAUUUAUGUGUGGAUCUAUGGUGAAGAACAUGUGUCGGGCUCCAAGUGGAAAUUACAUAUGAAGAGUCACAUCCUGGAUACAGUCGAGGCAGGUGCUUAAGUCCAGUGGCACAAGCUGCCCUCUGCAUCACUGGUGUCACGGAGAAUGUGCCUCAGUGAGAGAUAACCCUAGGUUAGAAGUGGAACGGUAGAUCUCAUAGAUCGUGUUCUCAGAGGUACCUUGUCACAAGAGGCAACUAGAGCUUAGUCAAAAGUGAUACAGGGCUAAAGAGAUGGCUCAGUGGUUAAGAGUAGUAGCUGUCCCUUCGAGAGGAGCCAGGUUCAAUUCCCAGCAUCCACAUGGCAGCUCACAACCAUCUGUAACACCAGUUCCACAGGAUUUAGUGCCCUCUUUUGGUCUUCACCUCCUUUUUU